rnacentral:rRNA from 1 species
AGUGGACGCUGGCGGUAGGCCUAACACAUGCAAGUCGAACGGCAGCACAGUAAGAGCUUGCUCUUACGGGUGGCGAGUGGCGGACGGGUGAGGAAUACAUCGGAAUCUACUUUUUCGUGGGGGAUAACGUAGGGAAACUUACGCUAAUACCGCAUACGACCUACGGGUGAAAGCAGGGGAUCUUCGGACCUUGCGCGAUUGAAUGAGCCGAUGUCGGAUUAGCUAGUUGGCGGGGUAAAGGCCCACCAAGGCGACGAUCCGUAGCUGGUCUGAGAGGAUGAUCAGCCACACUGGAACUGAGACACGGUCCAGACUCCUACGGGAGGCAGCAGUGGGGAAUAUUGGACAAUGGGCGCAAGCCUGAUCCAGCCAUACCGCGUGGGUGAAGAAGGCCUUCGGGUUGUAAAGCCCUUUUGUUGGGAAAGAAAAGCAGCAGGUUAAUACCCCGCUGUUCUGACGGUGCCCAAAGAAUAAGCACCGGCUAACUUCGUG